UUGUCAUAUAUAUACAUAUUCACAGUCGGAUGAUCGUCAAGAAAUUGACAUAAGUUGCCUGAAUCUGAGGCCAAUACUGUCUUUCUAAUAUUAUAUAAUAUAUAAUUAUAUAUUGCACAUGGUUACCAUGAAAAGAAACCCAGUGUACUAGGGUUACCAUGGUAACGUGAAACACAACUUUAGAACUUUGAAGUUCUGAAGAUCAUUAGCACCGACAUCCUUCUGCACAAACUGUCAGACUGUUUUCUGAACUUCACUCAGCAGGUGGCGUACCGACUUGAGUGGCAAACUUUUCAGAUCAUCAGACAAUCGUCAAGACGAACCCAGGAAUAGUAAACAGCGAUGGCCGGUGCUACAAUAUUGUGGUACGAUCUGGUGGAGGAGCAUGACUCCGACGCCGAUGCGUUAAGGGCAGAACUCCAACAGCUUCUGAAAGCGAAACAAGUAAACGCAGCUCGGAUGGCUCACCUCCAAGGAUUUGUGGGCCUGGAAAAAUCUAACGUCAACCUCAUUCACAGGCUCAAAAUUGAGAAGAACCUCAAAGGACCUCUUGAAAGAGAAGCAGCCAGACUCUCUACUCGGCUGGAGACGGAGAUUAAGAAGAUCAAAUCUCUGUCAAAACAAGCUGUGGAAAUCAGCCCCUCCAUCUAUGAGGACCAGAAGCCACCGGAUCCUGUGGAGAUCUGCCCCCUCCAUCUAUGAGGACCAGAGUCCUCAUAGAUGGAGGAACUCAGCAGCUCAGCCUAUCCACGUGCAGGGCAAGGACUUUGUCACUGCUGCAGUUGCCUCCUCCACAGGCAACAUCCCAGCUAAUCGAAAGAGGAGGACUAUCGAUGAAGACACUGGUUCACCAGAGGGGAAGAAGAUUCAUUUGUAUUAGGUGGACACCACAGCCGGCCCAAGCCUACAUGGGGCCGGCUACAUGGGGACCAAUACUUUUGUAUGGAAUCUAGCUGUCUUUUUUUUUUUUUAGCUGAAGAUACCUCGAUUGAACCGAAGGCUUGUUUGACGGCUAGCUAGCCGGUGAAUGUUUAUGAUUGAACGGUGAAAUUAGUCAUGCAUGUCCUGUUUUUGUGACAUUGCUUCCAUCUUUAACUUUGUCACGCCACUGCCCUUUCCAUCAACUGUCUGACUGACUAUAGUUGUUUCGGGCCUUUGGUUACAUUGGGAGUGGGGCCCACCUGGUGGCCAGGGGGCCCUAAGCAGCCGCUUUAUUCGCACUAUGCCUUGGGCCGGCCCUGGUGGACACUCAAAUAGCGUUACUCCAAGCCAGGAACAGCUGUACGGGAGCCAGGAACAGCUGUACGUCGCAGGGCAGCGCGAUGAUGAGCACUGCAGCCUCACGUACAGACUAAUGCCUGGCUGAUUGGCUGAGGUCUGAGGCUUCAGUCUUUUCACUGUGUCAUUAAGGAUUGUUGAAGACCAAAACGUUCAAGUUCAGGAAAGGACUCCCCUGAGCCGGUUUCAUUCCCCUCCGGUGCUUCCUCUUCCUGCGACGGGACACACAUCGUUCAGCUGCAGUGACGACCGGCCGACUGAAUUCUCAUUUACAAGCUCUGCAGCAGAUUCUGCUCUGCAUUCUGCAGACUUAUCAUUCACAUGUCAGCUCCCACCGGCGGCGGUGAGCGAGCAGAGGGAACGACGCGCCGGUCGCACUUUUCCCUACUCCUCCCAGGAAUUCCCAGCCUGGGACGCCUCAUUAGCCCAGUUCUGUUCGGAGAGAAGACGAUGUCGCAGCUGGAUGGAGAUCAUUCCAAGGGCGAAGCUGCAGGUAUUCCCAGCUGUGACGGGAGGAAACGAGGCCACGCUCACAUUCGGUCACGUCCCCGGGACGUCCGCGGUCACGGGCUGCUCGCUGCUCAGUCUGAAGUGGGUCAGCGUAUUUGCAUUAUGUAGAAAUUGUCCUCAAAAAUGUGUUUUUCCUCUAGGUGACAUUUAAACUUUUCUCUUGUGACAAAGUGGUGGACUUGAGCUGGUGGUGUUGCUGGUGAGUCACAGUCUAUCCUCUGAGCACCGCGAACAAUUACAGCAAAUUACAUGGAAACGUGGCAAAUUAAUUUUCAACGCAAAGCCAAAAUGUUCUGCUGGUUAUGUGACGGCUCCCAGAGGUGAAGCCAAAUGGUUGUGUCAUUUAUUUUACGUCUACUUUGAUUUUUUUCUCUUGUCCCAGGGCCCAUGUCCCAGCUGCUAACAUGGAGGGGACGGGGCUUAUGACCUGUAUUGCAGUCAGCCACCAGGGGGCGAUCGGGAUGAUUUGGCUUCACAUUUUGCGAGCUGUCAUGUGGGCUGUGGUUUGCAGCUAAUUCACACGUCCCUCUUUUGUGUUUUGUAGUUGACGUUCUUUCCUCGUUUUCCAUUGCUGAUCGAGUCUGAUUAAUUUCAGUGCGACCACACGUUCAGACGGAGGUCAAAGCGUCUUCAUCCUGGAUUGUCUGACGGUCGAGAGGAAGAUCUCAGACGUGAUUCCUCCCUUGACAGGAUUUUCCAAUUUCUCUCUGGUGUGUCUUUAAAUAUAUUUUACUCACAUUUUCACUGUAAAUGAAUCCUCUCACGCUUUGAUGACGAACCAGCUUCAGCACCAGUGAAGACACCUCUGCUGAGCCUGCAGCAGGAAGCUCGUG